UACAGAGGUCUCAAGCGUUGUUCGGAAUCACUGGGCGUAAAGCGUGCGUAGGCUGUUUCGUAAGUCGUGUGUGAAAGGCGCGGGCUCAACCCGCGGACGGCACAUGAUACUGCGAGACUAGAGUAAUGGAGGGGGAACCGGAAUUCUCGGUGUAGCAGUGAAAUGCGUAGAUAUCGAGAGGAACACUCGUGGCGAAGGCGGGGUUCCUGGACAUUAACUGACGCUGAGGCACGAAGGCCAGGGGAGCGAAAGGG
rnacentral:rRNA from 1 species